GCUCUGGUGACUCAAUAGUUAAGCACUUGGCUGCUAACUGAAAGGUUGGUGGUUCAAACCCAUCCUGCAGCU
rnacentral:tRNA from 1 species